GAUUUUUAUCCAUUUUUAUUGAAUGGAAACAGAAUGCAACCACCAAUUCAUUGUCCACACGAGAUGUUCAAUGUUAUGUCAAUGUGUUGGAAUGAAAAUCCUACAGAUCGUCCAAACUUCUCCAGUUUAAUUAAAAUGCUGCACGAAAUCCUUGGUUUGAAUGACGGAAUGCUAGAGGCAACCAACGAUAGUGAUGACAACAUCACGAGUAGCUGUUAAAAAGGUAGCAUAUUAAAUCGUAAUCGAACCGAUUUACAGUGCAUGCAAACAGAUGUAAAAAUUUUUAACCGAAACUGUGACGAUUAAUACUGCAGAUGCGGCAAAAAUGUAAACAAACUAAA